rnacentral:pre_miRNA from 1 species
CUAGUACUCCCUCCGUCCGAAAAUUCUUGUCUUAGCUUUGUCUAGAAAUAGAUGUAUCUAAAUACUAAAACUUGNNNNGAUACAUUCAUAUCUAGACAAAUCUAAGACAAUAAUUUUGGGACGGAGGGAGUACUAG